rnacentral:rRNA from 1 species
UACGAAGGGGGCUAGCGUUGUUCGGAAUCACUGGGCGUAAAGCGCACGCAGGCGGAUUGAUAAGUCGGGUGUGAAAGCCUCGGGCUCAACCUGGGAAUUGCAUUCGAGACUGCAUAGCUAGGGUGCGGAAGAGGGAAGCGGAAUUUCCGGUGUAGCGGUGAAAUGCGUAGAUAUCGGAAGGAACACCAGUGGCGAAAGCGGCUUCCUGGUCCAGCACCGACGUUCAGGCACGAAAGCGUGGGGAGCAAACAGG